UCCAUAUAAGUCCCAGGCUUGAGGUCAGGAGGGCAGUUGUCUGACAUUAGCCAAGGGAGAAGGAGCUGUCCCAGAGCCAGCAGGGAGGAGAGGCCUGACUGCAGGAGCUGGACAGCAUCCUGGACUUCAUAGAACCUGGUGAGGCCUGACACCUGUUUUGCAGCAUGGGCAGGGUGCUGGAGCCUGAGCCAGGGGCCACAAGCCAGAAGAACUCUCUGGGGAAAGGCACCUUGGGGUUCCUGCACCAGGUCCUGGCACGGUCCCUGUCCUCGGCCUUACCCAACAGCUUGGGCAGCCCAGACCACCACCUGCCCCAGCUAUUCCAGCAGUGGCCCACCGACAAUGAGAACAGGCUGAGGAUGGCCCCUGCAUGUGCCAGCUCCAGCUUGUUGCCAGGGGGAGUCACUGUCUGGGCAGCCACAUGCUGUGUCACACAACCCUCUGGGACAUGGCCAGGCAGACCUCCUCUUCACAGCCAAGGACAGCAUCUGAACACUGGGACUGAUUGCCACACCUGCUCGAUGUCGGACUGUAUUAGAACUGAAUCUUGUUACCCAAGACCCAAUGUUAUGGUCCAUAUGGAUUACUGUGUAGUUUAGUUUCAAGUCUGGUUCAGCUUUUCUCAUGAAAUACAUUACCCGAUGAACUGACACCUUUGUCUGGACUAUUAAUGAAACAUUGCUUUCCCUGACAACUCUUUUGCUACAACUUCUCUCACCAUUCAUGCUUUAUAGUCAGGAAUUUUAAGUGGGAACAGACAGUUAUCAGUGAUGAUGCUAGAAAGGGGCCUGAAAAUCACUUGGAUACAUUGCAUGAAAAUUCCUUUCCAUAAUUUGCUGCAUUCAGCUCUUUCAGAAGAGACUAAGAAGUCCUCUGUGCUAUAAUGUGAUAUACCCUUAUUGUAGGUUUCACUGAGUAGAGUCCCCUCACAAAGACUGCAUAAAGAAAUGAGUAGCUAGGGCGGAGCAGUUAAAUGAACACACUCUACUUGCUGCUUUAUCUGCUUGGUCAUUCUCUGUAAGGCUUAUCAUGAUAACAACUGUAGCAGGAGUAGAUGUCACUCGAGUGAGCCAGUUGUGUUAAGAGUGAUUAAAAACAGGCAUGUUAUCUCAGCAGAGCAUUCUUUAUGCUCCAAAAGUGGUCAGCUGUAUUAAAAUUUCUCAAUUUGGCUUCUACUAAGCAAGAUACUAUUUUUCACAAAUAAGAUGUUACAGAAGUGUGUACUUUGCGUCUGUAAGAGACUAUUUUAAACAAAGAGUUGUAUAAAACCUUUGGGAACUGGCAUGAAAUUAAAAAUGUUUUCCUCUUUGUAGGUUAGGUUUCCAAAAUGUAGUAAUCCCAAAUUUCUUUACAGCUGAGAGUAAAUAUAUAUUUUAUUGCAAUCAACUGAAUGAGGCCAAUAUCCUGUACUAAAACUGAGUUAACUUACACUGCUAAAGAGAAGAUCCUCUACCAGUAUAUGAAUCAAUCUCAUUUUGAAGUGGAUACAUACGACUCUUACUUGCUUCUGUCUUCAAAAACAAAAAAUAAAAUCCAUUUGUUUUUCUGGAAGCUUGCCCUUUGAAUAAAAUAGUGGUGGUAAAAGAGAACCUAAUCAAUACUAUACUCUAUAAAACCAGCAACCAGGAUUUGUCUUUCUCAGUAUUUGUCCAGUUCAAUAUUCAGUAUCUUCAGAAGCUAAGUAGGAUAGACAAACAUUUUGAGAUUCCAGCACUUGUUGCUAAAUCAGGCCAUUCAUUAGCUGCUAAGGGCUAUAAAAUAAAGCAGCUCUUUCCCAUCCUAUCCAGGCUGUGAAGGAGCCAUAAAUAACAAAGUAAAUUUCAUUUUAUUUUUUAGCACAGAAUACUAAUACAGAACUACUUGACUGACAGAAGUUUGCUGUCAUCAAUUGCCGUUUGCUUUUUGUAGUGAACAGA